UUACAGCCAUAUCACAUUUAAACUCCGGUUCUCGUACGAUCGCCGAAGUUAAGCAACGUCGAGAAUGGUCAGUACCCAGAUGGGCGAUCGUUUGGGAAUACAAAUGUUGUA